rnacentral:lncRNA from 1 species
GGUUUUUUUAUUCAAAGAAAAUAAUCAGAAAAAAUGAAUUGUGACUUUUUGUCCGUGACUUUUUGUCCUGUGACUUUCUGUCCUACAUUCGUCUUCUUACUUGCUGUCCUAUAUGAAUUCGUCAGAUAUCUUACCAUGAUCAACAAUAUGUAGAUGAUCGUUAGAGAUACAUUCCCAAGGUGUUUUAAGCUGCAAAUAAGUAGCCUGCUAUCUUUGAUGCGUUCUUACAACAAAAUAAAACAUCAAACAUCAUGAAGAUUACUUUCCGGC